AAACUGCGAUAAGUAGUGUGAAUUGCAUUUAGUGAAUCAUCGAAUCUUUGAACGCACCCUGCACUCACUGGUAUUCCGGUGAGUACGCCUAUUUCAGUAUCAUUGAAAACACACAAUCAAAACAUUUUCUUUGGUUUGAUUGGCUUUGGGUCUAUCAAAAAGUUUGGCUUGUUUCUUACAAGCCAAGCGGCCUGAAAUAUAUUGUCUGGCUAAUUGCAUCGUUGAUGAUCGCUAUUAGACUUUGGCUUUUUUAAAUGAACUGGAGGUUGAUUAACCAGUUUUAGCUUUAGUCAAAUGGUCAUUGUAAAAAAAAUCUCGAUCUUGGCUAGGUGUUUAUAGCCGAAAAUUUUUUUUUGGCUAUAACCGAAACCAAUAUAAUCACAUUUAGUUAUCGAUCUGAAAUCAGGUGGGACUACCCGCUGAACUUAAGC
rnacentral:misc_RNA from 1 species